rnacentral:rRNA from 1 species
AGAUUGAACGCUGGCGGCAUGCCUUACACAUGCAAGUCGAACGGCAGCACGGGAGCAAUCCUGGUGGCGAGUGGCGAACGGGUGAGUAAUACAUCGGAACGUGCCCAAUCGUGGGGGAUAACGCAGCGAAAGCUGUGCUAAUACCGCAUAAGAUCUACGGAUGAAAGCAGGGGAUCGCAAGACCUUGCGCGAAUGGAGCGGCCGAUGGCAGAUUAGGUAGUUGGUGAGGUAAAGGCUCACCAAGCCUUCGAUCUGUAGCUGGUCUGAGAGGACGACCAGCCACACGUGGGACUGAGACACGGCCCAGACUCCGUACGGGAGGCAGCGAGGUACGGGGUAAUUUUGGACUAAGUGGGACGAAAGCCUGACUCCGAGCCAGUCGGCCGACGUGC